CGUAGUCUCCUUGACUGCAGAAAGCCUCCUGUCCGUUACGUUUGAAUGUGGACAGGAUAGCAGGUAUCCUCUGGACCUGCCAGAUUUUAAGGAAAGAAAAUAUUACACAUUAAUGCUUUAAAAAAAAAUCUUUACCAACAAGGAGAGCCAAAGCAAAUCCUACUGGAGCUUGAACCCACACUAAUCCUCUGGAGGGAAGAUAGACAAUUUCAGCAGUGCCAUUGAUAUAUGCUCCUCCAACCCAUGUUGCUGUAAGAAAGCAGGAGAAAUAGGAAUGAAGCCCAUAUCCCAAUGGCUAAAGUUGUUACGUAAAAUACCACCAGGGCUACCAAGCCACUUAUGUUCAAAGCCAUUGCCUUCAAGCCUCAGAAAUGGGUGCAAAUGUCUAGUUCCUGAUCACAGCUCUAAGAGCCAAUGCUCCUGUUUGGUCAGAAGAAUCCUAAGCGAUGGAACGACCGUCCUAACAAAGAACUGAAUAUAACUGAACUGGGUGUGGGGGACGAGACCCAAGCAAAAGAGUGAGGAUAACCUUGUGAUCAAGGCAUGACUCUUUGUCCUUCUCAAGGUAGCCAUAACAUGCUGAAUGGCCCCCAAACAAAAGAAAGUAAAAUAAAAGCAAGUCAUAUGCAUCUA